rnacentral:rRNA from 1 species
UGGGGAAUAUUGCACAAUGGGCGCAAGCCUGAUGCAGCGACGCCGCGUGGGGGAUGACGGCCUUCGGGUUGUAAACUCCUUUCGCUAGGGACGAAGCUUUUUGUGACGGUACCUAGAUAAGAAGCACCGGCUAACUACGUGCCAGCAGCCGCGGUAAUACGUAGGGUGCGAGCGUUGUCCGGAAUUACUGGGCGUAAAGGGCUCGUAGGUGGUUUGUCGCGUCGUCUGUGAAAUUCCGGGGCUUAACUCCGGGCGUGCAGGCGAUACGGGCAUAACUUGAGUACUGUAGGGGUAACUGGAAUUCCUGGUGUAGCGGUGAAAUGCGCAGAUAUCAGGGGGAACACCGAUGGCGAAGGCAGGUUACUGGGCAGUUACUGACGCUGAGGAGCGAAAGCAUGGGUAGCGAACAGG